UCAGCUUCAGUCCCACAAAGGCAGAAAAAACCCCGCAGUGUUUGAACACUGCAGUUUUUUCUAAUGCACUUUUUUUCUUUUUUCUUUUUAGACACAUUUGUUUCCCCACAGUGGGUGUUUUUGACAAGAGCCUUCAGACAUUUCAUUUGCUUUUUUGUUUUUUUGGACUGGACAUUGCAAAAAGUGGUUAAAAAAAAAAAAAAAAAGAAAAAAAAGAAAGAAAAAACAGACGAUUAAAUGGGAGGUUGUUAAUAAGGCAAUAAAUCAAUAAAAUUAAUCAAGCUUAAAAGAAAAAAAAAACAGACAUAAAUUGUGUCCUAGCUGAAAAUGAUAGAAAUCACUGUCACAUUUCUUCAGCACAGAGUUUAAAGGAGGAUGACGAAGCGAGGUUUUUGUCUGUGUAAUUUUUUAUUUUAUUUCAAAGUGCUCGACAUAAAGCAGAGAGACGCUUUUUAAGCGCCUAAAUACAAAAAAAAAAUCAUAAUGAGCCAAAACAAAGAGGAUGGAAACUCUCCCAGUGCAGAGUGGGAAAGGUUACAUUCUUCGUCACCACUUUAAACUCUGAAUAAACUGGAGCAGAUAAUAAGUGUGAGAAAGACAGAAGACAGUAAAGAGAAAAGGGAGAGAGCCGAGGACCAGGAUUUGCCCACGUGGUGUUUCGUGCCCCUGGACUUUUGCGCCAAAGUCUCAAAUGUUCCGGUUAUAAAUUAGCAAAAAGAAAAAAAAAUCAAGAGUACAAAGUGAGAACCAAAAGAUGAUUAGACAGAACAAUCAAUAAAUCAACCAGUCGAUAAAUAAAUAAAUAAAUAAAUAAUAAAACGCUGUUGUGUUUAGGCCAAAUAGUCCCAGCAGUUCACCUGUGGUGAGCUGAGGCGCAUUAAUAUUUCAGGUUAAAGGUUUGUUUAAACAAUUGGGCGCAUAUCAAUGAGGCCCGCUAAUUUGUAGGCCAUCCAGCAGUAAGAGCUCGCCUAAAAUUACCGCUGAAAUGUCUAAUUAAAAACCCCCCUCGCUGCUGAGCCAGCCACGUCAGCUCACGUUUCCCCC
ensembl:lncRNA